CUAAUGACUGGACCGAAUGACUGGACCGAAUGACAGGACCAAAUGAAAAAUGCUAAUAACUUUUUCAUUUCUCAAAGGAUUGAUCUCAAAUUUGAAAUAUAAUAAGAUUUCAUCAUUUGAUAUAUAGAUUUAAGAAAAAAAAUUAAAAAAAUUUGUAAGAAACUUUAGAAAACGUGACAUGACCAACUCUGAUAAUGACAGGACCAACAUCGACAAUGACAGGACCAAAUAAAAAUGCUAAUAACUUUUUUAUUUUUCAAAGGAAUUAUCUCA
rnacentral:lncRNA from 1 species